GCUGGGGUAGCUCAGUAGGUAGAGUGUGAGACUCUUCAUCUCAGGUUCAUGGGUUCAAGCCCCACGUGGGGCA